UUUUCUUUUCUUCUCUCUCCUCUUUCCCCCUCUCUCAGCCGAAACCCACCCCUUCUUCUUCUUCUUCUUCUUCUUCUUCUUCUUCUUCUUCGCCGCCCCUCGCCGCUUCACCCCUUCUUCUCCUCUUCUUCUUCUUCUUCUUCGCCGCCCCUCGCCGCUUCACCCACCACCACAUCGCCGCCCCACGCCCUACUCACCACCAUCUCUUGGCCACUGAACCACCACCACCCACCGCUCGUCCGACGAGCCGUCUCGCCAUUGAGCCCGACAAGCUAUCGUGCCGUCCGCGCCGCCCCUCGCCGCCGUGAGCCGCCACCGCCGUCCCCAAGCCACCGUCACCACCUCUUGCCGCCGCUCGCUCGGCCGUUCGGGCCGUCGUUGCUCCGAACCGCCACCGCCAGAACUGAGCUCUUCCCCCCUUGGCCGUGGGUUGAGCCGCGACUGCCGCCGUCUUCGCCGCGCCGUCCGUGCCGCCGUUGGUGCCAUGAGACUCUUGUCUUCGUCGCCGGACCUCCCUCAACACCGCCGCUGGAUGCGUCACCCCUCGCUUGCCUCACCACUCAGCCGCUUGCCGUCGACGCCGCUCGUCCCCCAGGUGGAGGCUACUCGCUCGCCAGCCCCUCGACGCAGCUCGCUACUCGCCCAGCCGCCCAAUCAACCUUAACUCCACACCCCUUCGCCUCUGCCCCAACGAAGCUGCUCUGCUACGGGCUGCGGUCGGCGGCAAAGCUAAAGGAGGAGAAGCAGGAGGUGGCGGCGGCGAGCUCUUCUUCGUCUCGGAGGUUGGUUUCGCCUCGACCUCCUCUCCUUUGCCUGUUCGUGGCUUUGACGGUUUUUCUGUUCCUUAGCCGGUAGUUUAGGGUUUCCGUGUGUACGUGUGAGUGAGUGAUUUUCGAGAAUCGGACCAAGUCGAGCACGCGUUCGUCACGUGCGAAGAUCAAGCUAUCGUUUGCUUUUGCUUAUUUCGAUUAGGAUGUACAAUUCGUGUCGGUUUGUGCAAGGGCAUAGAGAAUUUGAUCUUUGUG
rnacentral:lncRNA from 1 species